GUUUGAUUUCUCUGUAGGUCAGUAAUGCAGUCCUGCAGUUCAGCUCUCUGUGUCCUGAUCUUACUGACCACUACAUUCACUACUGUGUUUGAAUCAUUGGUUCCUUCAGUGAAGGUGAAGCUUCAUGACUCUGCUACUCUGUCCUGCUCUGAGAGAUGCUCUGGUUUAGCGAGAUGGACUGUGUUCCACAAACGCAGUGACACUCUGGCUGAGUGUGAUCAGACUUCAUGUAGAUCAGUGAAGGAGGGAUAUCAGAUGAUCUAUGAUCAGUACCUGAAGGGGAAUCUCUCUCUCAUCAUCACUGACGCUGGUUUCAGUAAGAGAGGCUGGUACACGUGUGACUGUGAUGGUAAAGAUCUCUGUGAUGUGCGUC